GGUUGUUGUUGGGCUAGCUGUGGUUGUAGUUGGGCUAGAUGUGGUUGUUGUUGGGCUAGCUGUGGUUGUAGUUGGGCUGGCUGUGGUUGUAGUUGGGCUAGCUGUGGUUGUAGUUGGGCUAGAUGUGGUUGUAGUUGGGCUGAAUGUGGUUGUUGUUGGGCUUGCUGUGGUUGUUGUUGGGCUUGCUGUGGUUGUACUUGGGCUAGAUGUGAUUGUAGUUGUGCCAGAUGUUGUUGUUGUUGGGCUAGCUGUGGUUGUAGUUGGGCUGGAUGUGGUUGUAGUUGGGCUGGAUGUGGUUGUAGUUGGGCUAGAUGUGGUUGUAGUUGGGCUAGAUGUGGUUGUAGUUGGGCUGGAUGUGGUAUUGGGGCUAGAUGUGGUUGUAGUUGGGCUGGAUGUGGUUGUAGUUGGGCUAGAUGUGGUUGUAGUUGGGCUAGAUGUGGUUGUAGUUGGGCUGGAUGUGGUUGUAGUUGGGCUGGAUGUGGUAGUUGUUGGGCUUGUUGUGGUUGUAGUUGGGCUAGAUGUGGUUGUAGUUGGGCUGGAUGUGGUAGUAGUUGGGAUGGAUGUAGUUGUCGUUGGGCUAACUGUGGUGGUAGUUGGGCUAGUUGUGGUUGUAGUUGGGCUGGAUGUAGUAGUUGUUGGGCUAACUGUGGUUGUAGUUGGGCUAGAUGUGGUAGUUGUUGGGCUGGAUGUAGUAGUUGUUGGGCUAACUGUGGUUGUAGUUGGGCUAGUUAUGGUUGUAGUUGGGCUUGAUGUGGUAGUUGUUGGGCUGGAUGUGGUUGUUGUUGGGCUUGCUGUGGUUGUAGUUGGACUAGAUGUUGUUGUAGUUGGGCUAGAUAUGGUAGUUGAUGGGCUAGCUGUGGUUGUAGUUAGGCUGGAUGUGGUAGUUGUUGGGCUUGUUGUGGUUGUAGUUGGGUUAGAUGUGGUAGUUGUUGGGCUGGAUGUGGUAGUAGUUUGGCUGGAUGUGGUAGUUGUUGGGCUGGAUGUAGUAGUUGUUGGGCUGGAUGUGGUAGUUGUUGGGCUGGAUGUGGUAGUUGUUGGGCUAGCUGUGGUUGUAGUUGGGCUGGAUGUGGUAGUUGUUGGGCUUGCUGUGGUUGUAGUUGGGCUGGAUGUGGUUGUUGUUGGGUUAGCUGUGGUUGUUGUGGUAGAUGUG
ensembl:lncRNA